GGGGUUGUGGCUCAGUGGUAGAGCACUUGCCUAGCAUGGGUGAGGCCCUGGGUUGGAUUCCCAGCAUCGCAU
rfam:Ictidomys tridecemlineatus contig095326, whole genome shotgun sequence.